GCAGCUGUUCUAGGCCAUAGCAAAGAUCCAUACAGCUCCAUCUUCUCUCAGCAGCGGCAAGUAGUGGAUACCUAUGAGAAACAGGGUUUUCUGCCUAUGUGGAAGAAAGACUACCCUGUUUCUGCAGUCUGAUAGCAUAAAUCCAGCCAGAUCUCUCAAGUUUCUGAUGGCUUCUUUCCUUCGUGAAACUUUUCUCCACACUAUCAUAUUAUGUCCCUUAAUAUAUUUUAUGCAAACUUACCACUUUCAGAGUGGCCAAAAUAAAAUGUGACACAAAGGGAGUGUUCCUGUA